GGCUUCAGAAUGAACGCGGGCGGCGUGCCUAACACAUGCAAGUCGGAUGUGCCCGCAAGGGUGCAUGGCAGACGGGUGAGUAACGCGUAGGGAACCUACCUCUUUGUGGGGAAUAACGUUCCGAAAGGAAUGGUAAUACCGCAUGAGACCACUGGCUGGGAUGUUGGUGGUGAAAGCUGGGGAUCGAAAGACCUAGCGCAAGGAGAGGGUCCUGCGUCUGAUUAGCUAGUUGGCGGGGUAACGGCCCACCAAGGCGACGAUCAGUAGCCGGCCUGAGAGGGUGAUCGGCCACACUGGAACUGAGACACGGUCCAGACUCCUACGGGAGGCAGCAGUGGGGAAUUUUGCGCAAUGGGCGAAAGCCUGACGCAGCAACGCCGCGUGGGUGAUGAAGGUCUUCGGAUCGUAAAACCCUGUCGUCAGGGACGAAGGUCGCAUGUCUAAUAGAUGUGUGACUUGACGGUACCUGGAGAGGAAGCCCCGGCUAACUCUGUGCCAGCAGCCGCGGUAAUACAGAGGGGGCAAGCGUUAUUCGGAAUUAUUGGGCGUAAAGGGCGCGUAGGCGGUUCGUUAAGUCAGAUGUGUAAUCCCCGAGCUCAACUUGGGAACUGCUGAGACUGGCGGGCUAGAGUACUGGAGAGGGUGGUAGAAUUCCACGUGUAGCGGUGAAAUGCGUAGAGAUGUGGAGGAAUACCAGUGGCGAAGGCGGCCACCUGGACAGUAACUGACGCUGAGGCGCGAAAGUGUGGGUAGCAAACAGGAUUAGAUACCCUGGUAGUCCACGCUGUAAACGAUGAACACUUGGUGUGGUGGGAGUUGACCCCUGCCGUGCCGUAGCUAACGCGUUAAGUGUUCCGCCUGGGGAGUA
rnacentral:rRNA from 1 species